CCAAAGGCUCUUUUAAGAGCCACACAGUUUUUCACUUAAGAGUUGU
rfam:Erinaceus europaeus unplaced genomic scaffold scaffold00740, whole genome shotgun sequence